rnacentral:rRNA from 1 species
UACGUAGGGAGCUAGCGUUGUUCGGAAUCACUGGGCGUAAAGCGCACGUAGGCGGGUUUGUCAGUCAGGGGUGAAAUCCCGGAGCUCAACUCCGGAACUGCCCUUGAUACAGCAAGCCUUGAGUCCGGAAGAGGUAGGUGGAAUUCCUAGUGUAGAGGUGAAAUUCGUAGAUAUUAGGAAGAACACCAGUGGCGAAGGCGGCCUACUGGUCCGGCACUGACGCUGAGGUGCGAAAGCGUGGGGAGCAAACAGG